rnacentral:rRNA from 1 species
GAUAGCCCGGAGAAAUUCGGAUUAAUACCCCAUAGAUUAUCAGAUGGCAUCUGAAGAUAAUUAAAGAUUUAUCGGUACAAGAUGGGCAUGCGUGACAUUAGUUAGUUGGUAAGGUAAAGGCUUACCAAGACGAUGAUGUCUAGGGGUUCUGAGAGGAUGAUCCCCCACACUGGUACUGAGAUACGGACCAGACUCCUACGGGAGGCAGCAGUAGGGAAUAUUGGUCAAUGGGCGAGAGCCUGAACCAGCCAUGCCGCGUGCAGGAAGACGGCCUUCUGGGUUGUAAACUGCUUUUCUACGGGAAGAAAAUGCCCUUGCGAGGGAAAUUGCCGGUACCGUAGGAAUAAGCACCGGCUAACUCCGUGCCAGCAGCCGCGGUAAUACGGAGGGUGCAAGCGUUGUCCGGAUUUAUUGGGUUUAAAGGGUGCGUAGGCGGAUCUUUAAGUCAGUGGUGAAAGCCUGCAGCUUAACUGUAGAACUGCCAUUGAUACUGGAGGUCUUGAGUACACUAGAGGUAGGCGGAAUUUAUGGUGUAGCGGUGAAAUGCAUAGAUACCAUAAAGAACACCUAUAGGCGUAGGCAGCUUACUGGAGUGUAACUGACACUGAGGCACUGAAUAGCAUGGGGAGCGAACAGGAUUAGAUACCCUGGUAGUCCAUGCCGUAAACGAUGAUUACUCGAUGUUGGCUGAUAUUNUGUCACGCGUCACACAGCNAAAGCGUUAA